AUUGAACGCUGGCGGCAGGCCUAACACAUGCAAGUCGAGCGGAUGAAGGGAGCUUGCUCCUGGAUUCAGCGGCGGACGGGUGAGUAAUGCCUAGGAAUCUGCCUGGUAGUGGGGGAUAACGUCCGGAAACGGGCGCUAAUACCGCAUACGUCCUGAGGGAGAAAGUGGGGGAUCUUCGGACCUCACGCUAUCAGAUGAGCCUAGGUCGGAUUAGCUAGUUGGUGGGGUAAAGGCCUACCAAGGCGACGAUCCGUAACUGGUCUGAGAGGAUGAUCAGUCACACUGGACCUGAGACACGGUCCAGACUCCUACGGGAGGCAGCAGUGGGGAAUAUUGGACAAUGGGCGAAAGCCUGAUCCAGCCAUGCCGCGUGUGUGAAGAAGGUCUUCGGAUUGUAAAGCACUUUAAGUUGGGAGGAAGAGCAGUAAGUUAAUACCUUGCUGUUUUGACGUUACCAACAGAAUAAGCACCGGCUAACUUCGU
rnacentral:rRNA from 1 species